rnacentral:rRNA from 1 species
ACGGGAGGCAGCAGUGGGGGAUAUUGCACAAUGGAGGAAACUCUGAUGCAGCCACGCCGCGUGCGGGAAGAAGGCCUUCGGGUUGUAAACUUCUGUCCUUGGUGACGAUAAUGACGGUAGCCACGGAGGAAGCCACGGCUAACUCCGUGCCAGCAGCCGCGGUAAUACGUAGGUGGCAAGCGUUGUCCGGAAUUACUGGGUGUAAAGGGUGCGUAGGCGGCUCAUAAAGUCAGAUGUGAAAUACCGGGGCUUAACUCCGGAGCUGCAUUUGAAACUGAUAGGCUUGAGUGAAGUAGAGGUAAGCGGAAUUCCUAGUGUAGCGGUGAAAUGCGUAGAUAUUAGGAGGAACACCAGUGGCGAAGGCGGCUUACUGGGCUUUAACUGACGCUGAGGCACGAAAGCAUGGGUAGCAAACAGGAUUAGAUACCCUGGUA